rnacentral:rRNA from 1 species
ACGAACGCUGGCGGCAGGCUUAACACAUGCAAGUCGAACGCACUCUUCGGAGUGAGUGGCAGACGGGUGAGUAACGCGUGGGAACCUACCUAGUGGUACGGAAUAACACAGGGAAACUUGUGCUAAUACCGUAUGUGCCCUUUGGGGGAAAGAUUUAUCGCCAUUAGAUGGGCCCGCGUCGGAUUAGCUAGUUGGUGAGGUAAUGGCUCACCAAGGCGACGAUCCGUAGCUGGUCUGAGAGGAUGAUCAGCCACACUGGGACUGAGACACGGCCCAGACUCCUACGGGAGGCAGCAGUGGGGAAUAUUGGACAAUGGGCGCAAGCCUGAUCCAGCCAUGCCGCGUGAGUGAUGAAGGCCUUAGGGUUGUAAAGCUCUUUCAGCGGGGAAGAUAAUGACGGUACCCGCAGAAGAAGCCCCGGCUAACUUCGU